AGGGUUUGAUCCUGGCUCAGAUUGAACGCUGGCUGCAUGCUUAACACAUGCAAGUCGAACGAGAAAGUGCCUUCGGGCGCGAGUAAAGUGGCGGACGGGUGAGUAAUGCAUAGGAAUCUGCCCAGUAGUAGGGGACAACUCGGGGAAACUCGAGCUAAUACCGUAUAUUUCCUAAGGGAGAAAGACUUCGGUCGCUAUUGGAUGAGCCUAUGUCAGAUUAGCUUGUUGGUAGGGUAAUGGCCUACCAAGGCGACGAUCUGUAGCUGGUCUGAGAGGAUGAUCAGCCACACUGGGACUGAGACACGGCCCAGACUCCUACGGGAGGCAGCAGUGGGGAAUAUUGGACAAUGGGCGAAAGCCUGAUCCAGCAAUGCAGCGUGUGUGAAGAAGGCCUGAGGGUUGUAAAGCACUUUCAGUAGGGAAGAUAAUGACGGUACCUACAGAAGAAGCACCGGCUAACUCCGUGCCAGCAGCCGCGGUAAUAC
rnacentral:rRNA from 1 species